rnacentral:rRNA from 1 species
AAGGAUUCCCCUAGUAACUGCGAGUGAAGCGGGAAAAGCUCAAAUUUAAAAUCUGGCGGUCUUUGGCCGUCCGAGUUGUAAUCUAGAGAAGUAAUGCCCGUGCUGGACCGUGUAUAAGUCUCCUGGGAUGGGGCGUCAUAGAGGGUGAGAAUCCCGUCUUUGACACGGACUACCAGUGCAUUGUGGUAUGCUCUCAAAGAGUCGAGUUGUUUGGGAAUGCAGCUCAAAAUGGGUGGUAAAUUCCAUCUAAAGCUAAAUAUUGGCGAGAGACCGAUAGCGAACAAGUACCGUGAGGGAAAGAUGAAAAGAACUUUGGAAAGAGAGUUAAACAGUACGUGAAAUUGCUGAAAGGGAAACGCUUGAAGUCAGUCGCGUUGGCCAGGGAUCAGCCUUGCUUUUGCAUGGUGUACUUUCUGGUUGACGGGUCAGCAUCAAUUUUGACYGCUGGAAAAGGGCCUGGGGAAUGUGGCAGCUUCGGCUGUGUUAUAGCCCCUGGUCGCAUACAGUGGUUGGGAUUGAGGAACUCAGCACGCCGCAAGGCCGGGUUUCGACCACGUUCGUGCUUAGGAUGCUGGCAUAAUGGCUUUAAGCGACCCGUCUUGAAACACGGACCAAGGAGUCUAACAUGCCUGCGAGUAUUUGGGUGGAAAACCCGAGUGCGCAAUGAAAGUGAAAGUUGAGAUCCCUGUCGUGGGGAGCAUCGACGCCCGGACCAGAACUUUUGGGACGGAUCCGCGGUGGAGCAUGUAUGUUGGGACCCGAAAGAUGGUGAACUAUGCCUGAAUAGGGUGAAGCCAGAGGAAACUCUGGUGGAGGCUCGUAGCGAUUCUGACGUGCAAAUCGAUCGUCAAAUUUGGGUAUAGGGGCGAAAGACUAAUCGAACCAUCUAGUAGCUGGUUCCUGCCGAAGUUUCCCUCAGGAUAGCAGAAACUCAUAUCAGAUUUAUGUGGUAAAGCGAAUGAUUAGAGGCCUUGGGGUUGAAACAACCUUAACCUAUUCUCAAACUUUAAAUAUGUAAGAACGAGCCGUUUCUUGAUUGAACCGCUCGGCGAUUGAGAGUUUCUAGUGGGCCAUUUUUGGUAAGCAGAACUGGCGAUGCGGGAUGAAACCGAACG